UACGUAGGUGGCAAGCGUUGUCCGGAUUUACUGGGCGUAAAGAGCGCGCAGGCGGUUGAUUAAGUCGAAUGUGAAAGCCCCCGGCUCAACUGGGGAGGGUCAUUCGAUACUGAUUGACUUGAAGGCAGGAGAGAGAAGUGGAAUUCCCGGUGUAGUGGUGAAAUGCGCAGAUAUCAGGAGGAACACCGGUGGCGAAGGCGGGUCUCUGGGCCGUAACUGACGCUGAGGAGCGAAAGCAUGGGGAGCGAACAGG
rnacentral:rRNA from 1 species